GACAGAGGUGCCGAGCGUUAGGCGGAAUCACUGGGCUUAAAGCGUGUGUAGGCGGGCCGUUAAGUAUCUUGUGAAAUCCCCCGGCUCAACCGGGGAAUGGCUGGAUAUACUGGCGGUCUUGAGCGAUCUAGGGGCAGAUGGAACAGACGGUGGAACGGUGAAAUGCGUAGAUAUCGUCUGGAACGCCAAAGGUGAAGACAGUCUGCUGGGGAUCUGCUGACGCUGAGACACGAAGACCAGGGGAGCGAACGGG
rnacentral:rRNA from 1 species